AACGAACGCUGGCGGCAUGCCUAACACAUGCAAGUCGAACGAGACCUUCGGGUCUAGUGUCGCACGGGUUCGUAACGCGUGGGAACCUUCCCUUAGGUUCGGAAUAACUCCCCGAAUGGGGUGCUAAUACCGGAUCAUGUCUUCGGACCAAAGAUUUAUCGCCUUUGGAUGGUCCCGCGUUGGAUUAGCUAGUUGUUAGGGUAAAAGCCUACCACGGCGACGAUCCAUAGCUGGUAUGAGAGGAUGAUCAGCCACACUGGGACUGAGAAACGGCCGAGACUCCUACGGGAGGGAGGAGAGGGGAAUAGAGGACAAUGGGGGAAAGGAUGAACCAGCAAUGACGCGUGAGUGAUGAAGGCAGUAGGGAAGUAAAGCGCUUUUAACCGGGAUGAUAAUGACAGUACCGGGAGAAUAAGCUACGGCUAACUCCGUG
rnacentral:rRNA from 1 species